rnacentral:rRNA from 1 species
AACCUCCGCAAUGUGAGAAAUCGCGACGGGGGGAUCCCAAGUGCCAUUCUUAACGGGAUGGCUUUUCAUUAGUGUAAAAAGCUUUUGGAAUAAGAGCUGGGCAAGACCGGUGCCAGCCGCCGCGGUAACACCGGCAGCUCUAGUGGUAGCAAUUUUUAUUGGGCCUAAAGCGUCCGUAGCCGGUUUAAUAAGUCUCUGGUGAAAUCCUGUAGCUUAACUGUGGGAAUUGCUGGAGAUACUAUUAGACUUGAGACCGGGAGAGGUUAGAGGUACUCCCAGGGUAGAGGUGAAAUUCUGUAAUCCUGGGAGGACCGCCUGUUGCGAAGGCGUCUAACUGGAACGGUUCUGACGGUGAGGGACGAAAGUUAGGGGCGCGAACCGGAUUAGAUACCCGGGUAGUCCUAACUGUAAACGAUGCGGACUUGGUGUUGGGGUGGCUUUGAGCUGCUCCAGUGCCGAAGGGAAGCUGUUAAGUCCGCCGCCUGGGAAGUACGGUCGCAAGACUGAAACUUAAGGAAUU